UACGAAGGGCGCAAGCGUUUGUCCGGAAUUAUUGGGCGUAAAGAGCUCGUAGGCGGCCUGUCGCGUCUGCUGUGAAAUCCCGGGGCUUAACCCCGGGCGUGCAGUGGAUACGGGCUGGCUGGAGGCAGGCAGGGGAGAAUGGAAUUCCUGGUGUAGCGGUGAAAUGCGCAGAUAUCAGGAGGAACACCGGUGGCGAAGGCGGUUCUCUGGGCAUGUCCUGACGCUGAGGAGCGAAAGUGUGGGGAGCGAACAGG
rnacentral:rRNA from 1 species